CUUGAUUACUCGACUGAUAGAACUGAUUGCAUUAACACUUCUCAGUCACACGUUCCGAAUUGUACUGCUAUAAAGCAAUACAUCAGCAGUGUGGACUUCACCAUUAGUUUACACGACGCAGCAUCGGACCACGAUUAAGAUGAAGUUCCCACUGUUGCUGAUAUUGUUUGUCGCUCUCACUGUAAACGUUGAGGCGAAAAAAAUUAAGAUCAAUUGGAGAAAGGUUUGGAAAGUCGUAAAGGAUGUCUUAAUUGCUGUUCUUUCCCGUAAGCGAGAUAUCUCUACUAUUGACCGAAACAAUGACGGGUUUGUGCACCUAUCAGAGUUAGAAGAAGCGUUCGACACGCGCCAGGCACGAGACAUCUUAGAAAUGGCGGACGAAGACGGAAACUCUGACGUCACUGUGGAUGAGUUUCAAAAGUUCAUGACAGACCUCAGCAAAGUGGAAUGAAAAGAGAUCCAAACAGGUUUCUAACUGAGCUUGAAGAAUGAAUUAUUGUUAAUGAGAUUCUCACUGUCUAGACAGAAAUAAAAUUUACAAAACCAGAA